rnacentral:lncRNA from 1 species
CUGAUUGUGCAAGGCUGGUUUGAUUUUUUUUUUGUGCCACUUCACUUGGGAUAUGAUGCAAUCAUCUGUCUCGUCGUGGGAAUGGGAUACUGGGUCAGUGGGUACAGGGCCUUCCGCAAGCGCAUGAUGCUGGCGUACCGCUUCCGGCCCAACCCGCUGGUACGGGAUAACGGGAUCACGGGAUCAUGGGAUCAUGGGAAUGGGGUCAGGGUCAUGGGAAUGGCAUCGUGGGGUCAGUGGGUACAGGGCCUUCCGCAAGCGCAUGAUGCUGGCGUACCGCUUCCGGCCCAACCCGCUGGUACGGGAUAACGGGAUCACGGGAUCAUGGGAUCAUGGGAUCAUGGGAAUAGGGUCAGGGUCAUGGCAUUGGGAUCAUGGGGUCAGUGAGUACGAGGCCUUCCGCAAGCGCACGAUGCUGGCGCACCGCUUCCAGCCCAACCCGCUGGUACGGGAUAACGGGAACGGGAUCAUGGGACAAUGGGAUUAUGGGAAUGGGAUCAUGGGAAUGGGGUCAGGGUAAUGGGAUUGGGAUCAUGGGAAUGGGGUCAGCGUCAUGGGAAUGGCAUCGUGGGGUCAGUGAGUACAAGGCAUUCCGCAAGCGCAUGAUGCUGGCGUACCGCUUCCGGCCCAACCCGCUGGUACGGGAUAACAACGGGAUCACGGGAUCAUGGGACAAUGGGAUCAUGGGAAUGAGGCCAGGGUAAUGGGAUUGGGGUCAGGGUCAUGGGAUUGGGAUACUGGGUCAGUGGGUACAGGGCCUUCCGCAAGCGCAUGAUGCUGGCGUACCGCUUCCGGCCCAACCCGCUGGUACGACUGGGAUCAUGGGAAUGAAGUCAGGGUAAUGGGAAUGGGGUCAGGGUCAUGGGAAUGGGGUCAGGGUCAUGGGAUUGGGAUCAUGGGAAUGGGGUCAGCGUCAUGGGAAUGGCAUCGUGGGGUCAGUGAGUACAAGGCAUUCCGCAAGCGCAUGAUGCUGGCGUACCGCUUCCGGCCCAACCCGCUGGUACGGGAUAACGGGAAUGGGAUCAUGGGAUCAUGGGAUUGGAGCUGGGAUCAUGGGAUCAUGGGAAUGAGGUCAGGGUCAUGGGAAUGGGAUCAUGGGGUCAGUGGGUACAGGGCCUUCCGCAAGCGCAUGAUGCUGGCCUACCGCUUCCGGCCCAACCCCCUGAACAACCCACGGCGACCUUACUACUGAGGAGAGUUUUUCCCACCAGAUUUCCUGG